GUAUACAGGUCUUACGGGAUGUUGGAGAGGUGCAGGGUGUGUGUGUGUGUUAGUGUUUGUAUACAGGUCUUACGGGAUGUUGGAGAGGUGCAGUGUGUGUGUGUGUUAGUGUUUGUAUACAGGUCUUACGGGAUGUUGGAGAGGUGCAGGGUGUGUGUGUGUGUUAGUGUUUGUAUACAGGUCUUACGGGAUGUUGGAGAGGUGCAGUGUGUGUGAGUGUGUUAGUGUUUGUAUACAGGUCUUACGGGAUGUUGGAGAGGUGCAGGGUGUGUGUGUGUGUUAGUGUUUGUAUACAGGUCUUACGGGAUGUUGGAGAGGUGCAGGGUGUGUGUGUGUGUUAGUGUUUGUAUACAGGUCUUACGGGAUGUUGGAGAGGUGCAGGGUGUGUGUGUGUGUUAGUGUUUGUAUACAGGUCUUACGGGAUGUUGGAGAGGUGCAGGGUG